rnacentral:lncRNA from 1 species
GAGCUGGUCAGUAUAAUAUAGGCAUUUGCUAAAAGUCACGUAAAUAAGUUUCUAUCUUUUAUUCAUUUCAAGAAUCAUAUAUUUUCAUUUAUAUUCAAGAUAAACAACAAUUUUAACUAGUAAUAUACUUAAACUAUAGACUUAAAUGAUAUGCCAAGAAUCUAUUCAGUAUGAUACAUGUACAAAGUUAUCUCUACACUCAAGAGAUAUUCAUUAACUUAUCUCUAAACUCAAGAGAUAUUUAUUAACUUAUCUCUACACUCAAGAGAUAAUAUGUUGGUGUGUCAGAAAAAUACAUAAAAAGGCUGAGUCCUGCUAUCUUAAUAAUAAAAUAAAUUACCCUAAGAGAAAAUCCUAACUUGAAGUGAAUUUAGUCAGAAGACCUCUUUCUGACAUAUUGGUAUAUAGUUGUAACUGAUACCUCACCAGUUACAUAAAAAAAUGUUUAUUAUUAUUAGUUAUAUAUUCAGAGCCUUUCCUGAAUAACUAACAAUGAAAUACAGUUUAUACCAUACAUAAACUGUAUUGUUUAUUAUAAUUUCCAG